rnacentral:lncRNA from 1 species
GCUGCAUAGUAGUUGGGGAGUCAGACAGUCCAUCCACCUGCUGCUGUGAGGGAGUGAGAAGUGAAGAGGAAGCAAGCUGGUGGAGGAGACAGAGGACCCCGAGGUUAGGGCUGCUGUUUUACCAGAGCUGACCGAGCCUGAGGAGCUGGCCUCAGAGCAGAGGCCUGGAUGAAGCGAGGAGCAGCGUGGCUCGUUGGGUAGGAGGGUCAGCUCGGCCGUGGGAGCGGCCAGGGCACGGCCUGGAGAGGAGCCCAUGGCUGACGCGAGUUAGUGGGGAGCUCCACUGCCCAACCCAG